rnacentral:misc_RNA from 1 species
GCGCUCUCACAUAUAACCUUUGGGUUAAAAUGUGGAAUUGGGAUGCGCCGGUUAUUAUAACGGCCCUCCUAAAAUUCAGUUCUUGGCUGCUUCCUACAGCAGUUUGGCCCAAUAGUUUUGAGUCUUCGAUUCAAAUCUUUGGAUAACAUUUGCUUCAGGAUGUCAGUCUUGAUAUACAGAAAUCUCAUUCAAA